UUUAACUGCAACCAUGAGUUUACGUGUCCAACUUUAAUCGUCCAUCUUAUUUGAAAAUUUUUUAUAAUUACUAUUUUUGUUGUUAUGAGAUUAUAAAACAUGAAUAGCACUUUACUCGUGACUUAUGUUUUUAAUUUUUUUUUAAAAAAAGAUUAAAUAAGACGGAUGAUUAAAGUUGGUCGCGGAAAACCAUGGCUAUACUUAAA
rfam:Oryza sativa Japonica Group DNA, chromosome 6, cultivar: Nipponbare, complete sequence.